AUUGAACGCUGGCGGCAGGCCUAACACAUGCAAGUCGAACGGUAACAGGAAGAAGCUUGCUUCUUUGCUGACGAGUGGCGGACGGGUGAGUAAUGUCUGGGAAACUGCCUGAUGGAGGGGGAUAACUACUGGAAACGGUAGCUAAUACCGCAUAACGUCGCAAGACCAAAGAGGGGGACCUUCGGGCCUCUUGCCAUCGGAUGUGCCCAGAUGGGAUUAGCUAGUAGGUGGGGUAACGGCUCACCUAGGCGACGAUCCCUAGCUGGUCUGAGAGGAUGACCAGCCACACUGGAACUGAGACACGGUCCAGACUCCUACGGGAGGCAGCAGUGGGGAAUAUUGCACAAUGGGCGCAAGCCUGAUGCAGCCAUGCCGCGUGUAUGAAGAAGGCCUUCGGGUUGUAAAGUACUUUCAGCGGGGAGGAAGGGAGUAAAGUUAAUACCUUUGCUCAUUGACGUUACCCGCAGAAGAAGCACCGGCUAACUCCGUGCCAGCAGCCGCGGUAAUACGGAGGGUGCAAGCGUUAAUCGGAAUUACUGGGCGUAAAGCGCACGCAGGCGGUUUGUUAAGUCAGAUGUGAAAUCCCCGGGCUCAACCUGGGAACUGCAUCUGAUACUGGCAAGCUUGAGUCUCGUAGAGGGGGGUAGAAUUCCAGGUGUAGCGGUGAAAUGCGUAGAGAUCUGGAGGAAUACCGGUGGCGAAG
rnacentral:rRNA from 1 species